rnacentral:rRNA from 1 species
GACGGGGGAUGCAAGCGUUAUCCGGAAUUAUUGGGCGUAAAGCGUACGUAGGCUGUUUAAUAAGUCUGUUGUCAAAGCCCGAGGCUCAGCCUUGGAUCGGCAAUGGAAGCUGUUAGACUAGAGAGAGAUAGGGGCAGGAGGAAUUCCAGGUGUAGCGGUGAAAUGCGUAGACAUCUGGAAGAACACCAGUGGCGAAAGCGUCCUGCUGGAUCUCAACUGACGCUGAAGUACGAAAGCUAGGGGAGCGAAUGGG